AGAGUGUGUGUGUGUGUGUGUGUGUGUGUGUGUGUGUAGGUAGGUCAGAGGGCAGCUUCUGAAGUCAGCUCCGUCCUCCAUUGUGGGGUAUGUUACCUGGCUUAUAAGGUAGUGUGUGUUUAACAGAUUUAAAAGUGCCAUCUUGCCAGCCCUCUUUUUCUGAUUUUAAAACUUUUUUUUUGUUUUUUUUGGUUUUUUUUUUUUUUUGUGGAAACCUCUGCUUUCUUGUUUGCUUUACUUUUCGACACUGAGGAGUGACCCCAGAGUCUUCUUGCAAUGCCACACACAGGUUCUACCUUCAGCUUCCCGAGGUUUAUUUUCUGUGACUGGAAAUGUAAGAUCUUUCUGACCCCGCCCCCACACACCUCAUUUCUGCUAACUUUUCUCCCACACGUCCUAACAAUCCUACUGACUAGGUUGAAGCUGUGAAAACUCAGUCUCUAUGACUUGUGCUUGCUACACGCCCCGCCCCCUUAGGUUCCAAAUUCUGUUUCCCUCAGCCUAUCCCAAGACUGGGUCUUGGGAUAGCGAAUCAGAGUGUUGCCUGUUUCGCACAUCCAUUUUUUGUCCACGUUGAUUAUUUUAUUUUAUUUUAUUUUUUGAGACAGGGUUUCUCUGUAUAGCCCUGGCUGUCCUGGAACUCACUCUGUAGACCAGGCUGAUAUCUUCUGAUAAAGAGGCUGAUCGAUGGGGGUCCUGUCCUCAUACCUACCGUAAAAAUGUAAUGAACUAGGAGGCUUUCUUGGCUGUUGUGUCCACCCUGGGUAACAGAUUAUGAUGUCCAGCCACCGCCUGGUUGUUACUAGUCAUUUUAUGAGUUGGUCUAAUCCACUCCGGCUCACUCAUUUGCUACCCAAGUCCCUCGUAUCUUUUUUUUCCCUCUUGGGUCCCCUGUAUGUGGCCUGUGGAGGCAUAAAACCUUUCCUCCAGUCUAAAAUCUGCUCUAAUUUUCCUCAGCAUUUUACUUUAAAAGAUAUUUAUAUUAUGAGAGUGUUUUGCCUGCAUGUAUGUAUAUGUUUGUACCCUGUGAAUACCUGUAGCUACAGAGAUCAGAAGAGGCCAUUGGGUCCCCUGGAACUAUAUAUAGAUGGUUGUGAGCCGCCCCGUGGGUGCUGGGUCCCACUCAAGAGCAACAAGUGCUCUAACCAUUUUGCCAUCUCUCUGUCCUUACUCUACCCAUUUAAUCCCCCCUCCUUCCCUCCACCCUUCACUCCCUCCCUCCCUCCUUCCCCCUCUUCAGCUAGAAACUUCAAUUAUAUUUUAGAAUCCCCACAAACAGGUUGCUAUUGCGUUAAACAACGCACGGGCACGCACAAGGUGGUGUUGACAGAAAACUUAGAUCAUAAUUUGCCUGACAGGACAAAGCAGACAUGCCCCCUGCUUUGUCCUUGUGUGUAUUUGCGGGGAUGACAAGUGUUGUGGCUUCCAAAGUGUCUUUCUGUGCUAAACACAGGGCUGGACCGUGGAAAAUCAAAAAACAAACUGGCCAUUUGGGAGGGCGGUCAGUCUCGGCGCAGCGGGGAGGAAUGGGCGGUCAGUCUCGGCGCAGUGGGGAGGAAUGUGCCCUGAGCCUGUUAUCUCGUGCUUACUUCCGCCUCUCCACGGCUUCCAAGGUAACGGAUGGAGAGGGUCACCCACCUCCAGUCUCUCAGCGGUACUGAAGCCGCAGAAGCUUUCUCUCUGGGAAGCAGAAAGGAAACCUGUUGGCUUUUGGAGCCUCCCAUAGAGAUGAAAGGGGAAUUAAAUGGUAUCACCCCUGUGCCAUCGCCAAAGCAAAACCGGGUCGCUUUAUCCGGGCUCUUCGGAGCUCUUUAAGGCUUGAAGGUCUGGAUUGAAAUCCAUAUAAUACAUUCAUUCACUAAGUCAAGAUUAAUAGCAUGGGCCGUGUGUCCUGGGGGAGAGCUUCCAGAAGGCACUGGGAAAUAAACCCGGUCUGCCUUUGAAAUACUUCCCAUAAGGCACAGGUCAGGGGAAAAAAAUCGAUUUUAUUUUAUUUUAUUUUAUUCCCUAAUAACAAUUCCUUUGUCAUCUCAUUUAAAUUCAUGUGUUUUUUCCCCUCCUGUAUAGACACAUUUUGCCAGGUCUCUUCCAUCUCAAAUAUUGCUGAGUCAAAUACCACUUAGAAUGGACUGCUAGUGGGUGGUAUCCGCCUUCAUUUCCCCCCUUCUGUCACCCCGUCCUAAGGGUCACUCUUAUCUUUGUUACCUCUCCAUGGUUUCCCCACAAUACCAGCAAUAGCUGUAUUUAGCAACCAGAAGUGAUAUAAGCUUAUUUUGAAAACACGUUUUCAAAUCAAAUCAGAAAGAAUACACUUUGACUCAUAGUAGAUUUGAUAUUAAAUUAUCUCAGUCUGAACCAUUGAUUUUGUUUGCUUUCUGCUUUGCCCUGGAACCAGACUAUGAUAAAAAACAAACAAACAAACAAACAAACAAAUAACAGAAGCUGACAAUGAUUGCUAAAGAAAAUGAUUCUCUGCCAGUAGUACAAAGAAGAAGAAAUUUGCCCCAGAAUAUAAAAUUUGAUAACCUCCUUCCCUGACAAAACUGUGUCCCCAAAGGGCUCUUUCCAUGAGCAAAAACUUGCCAAGGUUCAGAAAGUUCUCUGCCUUUCACUUCCUUUGUAUCUACACAUGUUUAAUGUUACGCUUUGUAUCUAUACAUGGGCCAUGUUUAAUGUUACGUUUUGCUCUUUGGAAAGAUUUAUGUUCAAAAGGCCCCACACAGAAGUCAGUGCCUUUGGGCUCAUUCUAAACCAGUCAGUGCUACAUAGUUUUUGCUCUGGAUUACAGGUUAACCAGUAAGUCUCAGAUGGGGCAGCAGUGUAAUCCUCCAAGAGCCCCUCCCCCCCCCCCCCCCCCCACACACACACACAGCAAAUUUUCUCUCUACCCUUGUACUUUCUAGCCAGCUUGGGUGAAUAGCAUAUUGAUGUAGCCUGCUUCUUAGCUUGCAAGCAAGUCGUUCUCUUUCAGAAGCCAUGGGUACCGGGGAGGCAGGUUCUGCAUCUCAGGGCAAAGGACAGAAGAGGUGAGCACCUGGGUCGAGCGCAGCCUGGUGCGAGUCCUUCUUACUAUGAGUGGGUUUUAGUGUUGCUGUGUGCUGUUCUACUGGUGCCUGAUUAAUCCUGCUGGUCGCUAGGGGUAAACCCGGGUUUUAUCUGAUCUAGGAACAAAACUUUCCCCCUCUUGGACAGAAGGUGGUCUGGGCAGGUCAGGGUAUGGGUCACUGGGAGGGCGGCCUGAGGAAGCCUGCGUUUUUCACAGCAACCACUUAUUACAAUUAGUUUAAAAAGAGUGAGAGAGAGAGAGAGAGAGAGAGAGAGAAAAGCCAACAUGGGUUGAAUUGACACUUUUCUGAGUCUGGACAGUGCAAUUGUUCUGGAAAACAAUGCUCACAUCUUUGUUUGAAAGUGGAAAAAGAAAAAGAAAAAAAAUUUUAAAGAAAAUAAGAGUAGUAAGAGAACAAUGUAUUUCAAGCAGCAAAUCUGUGCCCGAGUGUGGAGGGAGCCCUUUGAGGGUUUCAUUGGCUUCGGUGUCUGGAACUCCAGCUCCCCCUCUGCACUGAAUCCAAAUGCUUUGCUCGAAAACACAGGAAUGGAAGCAAUAUCCCAGCCAGCUCCCCACGGGUUGACAAACUACUCCCAGAAUCUAAACUGAAGAAGAAUUUGGUGACACAGGUACAGUCCCAGAGGUGAUGCCAUUGAAGUAAGAAACCAUCUGGAUAACCCAGGGUAUGAGAAGACUUGCACUAAUGUAUCUAGAGUCCCUGUUAGGUGGACUUAAGAGGUAUAAGGUGCUAUGUGGCCACACAGUCUCAGAAAACUCACAGUGGGUGUUAAAUGUCAUCACAAGAAUGAGAACUAAAGCCGGGUGGUAGUGGCGCAUGCCUUUAAUCCCAGCACUUGAGAGGCAGAGGCAGGCAGAUUUCUGAGUUCGAGGCCAGCCUGGUCUACUGGUCUACAGAGUGAGUUCCAGGUCAGCCAGGACUGCACAGAGAAACCCUGUCUCGAAAACAAAACAAAACAAAACAAGAAUGAGACCUAAAGAACCACAGUGCAUUUGUAAAUUGUCUUGUCUUACCCAUCCCACCCUAUACAUUUUCUUCCAAUUCAUAUGGUAUGUGCCAAGCAUUCAGUUUUAUCUGGCAAUAAAUAAAUAAAAAUGUAAUAGGAGAGAAAAAUAACUUGGAAGCAUAUUGAGUCCUGAGACCGCCCUUGAGCCCAGAAAUCAGGUACCCCUAGCCCAGUUCUGCUUUGCUUUGUCUUCUGUAGGGACACCCACUUUCAGGCCACCACAGAGCCACUCGGAAUAAUGCUAUCGUGUCCUCAGACCAGCUUCCUGCUAAGCAUGCCCUUGAGGCUGAGUUCUAGACAGGAGACCAUGGAAGGGAGCAAGUGUCCUUAAAUGAGGGAACAGUCCUUUUCUCUGUGCUCCUUGCUCCCUGUAGAAUGGAAGGCAGUACACCUGGCACUCCCUGCAGCUUCUUCCCACAGCCUGGGAGUCUUUGUAAGGAUGUCAUUGUCAGCAUCCAGUAGAGGCAGCAGAGAGCACAUGAGCAUCACCCUGUGAAGUCUCCUGAUAGCAGGGAGUAGGGACAAGGAGCAGAGACUGGCACAGUGCAAGCCCACAUGCAAAAGAAUAGGAAUGGGCACAACACUACACACACACACACACACACACACACACACACACACACACACACAAUCAAUUCAAAAUGUUCCAGAAAUCUAAAGGGAAGGGCUGUGCUGGAGAGAUGGGUCAGCGGU